rnacentral:lncRNA from 10 species
GGGAAGAACACAGCCCAUGUGCUCUGCAUGGACGUUACUGAUACUCUGUUUAGCUUGAUUUUCGAAAAGCAGGCAAGAUGUCCAGCACACCACAUGACCCCUUCUAUUCUUCUCCUUUCGGCCCAUUUUAUAGGAGGCAUACACCAUACAUGGUACAGCCAGAGUACCGAAUCUAUGAGAUGAACAAGAGACUGCAGUCUCGCACAGAGGUGCCACAUCAUUGGGAACUAUGAUGAUGAUGACGACGAUGACGACGAUACACUUAUUCUGGAUUCUAUCAGCAAAUUAAAUAAUGUCGACCAUGCCUCAGCCAAGUCAUCUAACUGAAGAUGAGUCUGUUGCCUCAUUUGUAAAUGCA